GUUCGGCUGCUUGCCAAUAAAGAGUCACGUAGGCCGAAGGAAGAAAUCAUAAAUAAUAGAAAGCAUUAUAUGGACAUGCGUUUUUGGAGAAUGGUUGGUUUUGGUAAACUUCCAAAGUACCAUCAGGAUCCUACAACAGAAGAGUUAGCCAAAACACUCGAUUGUUGGCCAUCAAUGAAUUAUUACAUCACGGGUUGUAGAUAUGUUCUCAUGCCAUGGAAAUUCAAUGGAUGUUACGCCCUCUUCGUAAUAGAUCAUGUUAAAAAGCAUGUGACUUUUAUCGACUUUACACCGACUCAAGAUUGGUGUAAACACAUGCCAUACAAGAGGUUCGCGGAAGCGAUUAUCAUGACCUCAAAAAAAUAUAAGAUUGCUUACAGCAAGAAACGUUCUGGAUGGGCGGAGGAUAUCUUUAAGUGGGAACAUACAAUUCAGACUGGUGUUCCAAUUGACUUAAGAGGGUAUUUU